ACUGCCAGAUGAAGGACAGGACGAGAGUCUGCUGGGCCCAGUCGCAGGGGCUGCUCUGCAUCCGUGCACAGUCCUGGCUCUCCUGCCCCUGCCCCUGCCCCUGCUCCUGCACCACCAAUGUGGAGGGGAGGCCUCGGCAUGCCAAGGCAUGAAUUUUCAGAAGCAUUCAUUGGAAAAGCUUAUACGGAAAUAUGGGAAAGCUUCCAUUGAGAGUGAAUUUCAAAAAUCUGUGCUGUGGAGCUGCAGCUGACUCUUUUAUAUGUCUGGGCAAGGGACAGAAGCACCUCAUCUGGCCAUUCAAAAGUUUCGUCUUAGUGUAUACAGCCCUAUCCAAAACACCAGUUCUGGGAUGGACAACAGCAAUCCAGAACAUGACUGUACUUCACAGAAGUGAUGGGGAGAGGCUGACAGAAGAUACUGGCGGAAAAUUCAA